GGCGCUGUGCUGUGUAGACAGAGACAGAAGCUCCACCAGGAUAUAUAGCUAGUCUACUGUAGCUCUGUUACUGUGUAGUGCCUGUAAAGUUGUGGUUGCUCUAUAAGGACAGACAUUACCAUAAUGUAAUGGAUGGAGUGAAGGUCUCCAACUGGGCUCCACCGUACGUCGACUGCUGUUAGACGAGCAACAGCGACAGGUGGUGCAGCAGAUUGAGCUGCUGACCUCGUCCAUUGACCUGAGUGAAGGGGAAGCCAGCCCCAGCCUGCCCAGCGACAGUAGCU
rnacentral:lncRNA from 1 species